AUUGAACGCUGGCGGAAUGCUUUACACAUGCAAGUCGAACGGCAGCACGGGAGCUUGCUCCUGGUGGCGAGUGGCGAACGGGUGAGUAAUGCGUCGGAACGUACCGAGUAAUGGGGGAUAACGCACCGAAAGGUGUGCUAAUACCGCAUACGCCCUGAGGGGGAAAGUGGGGGAUCGUAAGACCUCACGUUAUUCGAGCGGCCGACGUCUGAUUAGCUAGUUGGUGGGGUAAUGGCUCACCAAGGCGACGAUCAGUAGCGGGUCUGAGAGGAUGAUCCGCCACACUGGGACUGAGACACGGCCCAGACUCCUACGGGAGGCAGCAGUGGGGAAUUUUGGACAAUGGGGGCAACCCUGAUCCAGCCAUUCCGCGUGAGUGAAGAAGGCCUUCGGGUUGUAAAGCUCUUUCAGUUGGAACGAAACGGUACGCUCUAACAUAGCGUGCUAAUGACGGUACCGACAGAAGAAGCACCGGCUAACUACGUGCCAGCAGCCGCGGU
rnacentral:rRNA from 1 species